rnacentral:rRNA from 1 species
UAGGGAAUCUUCGGCAAUGGGGGCAACCCUGACCGAGCAACGCCGCGUGAGUGAAGAAGGUUUUCGGAUCGUAAAGCUCUGUUGUAAGAGAAGAACGUGUGUGAGAGUGGAAAGUUCACACAGUGACGGUAACUUACCAGAAAGGGACGGCUAACUACGUGCCAGCAGCCGCGGUAAUACGUAGGUCCCGAGAGUUGUCCGGAUUUAUUGGGCGUAAAGCGAGCGCAGGCGGUUUAAUAAGUCUGAAGUUAAAGGCAGUGGCUUAACCAUUGUGCGCUUUGGAAAAUGUUAAACUUGAGUGCAGAAGGAGAGAGUGGAAUUCCAUGUGGAGCGGUGAAAUGCGUAGAUAUAUGGAGGAACACCGGUGGCGAAAGCGGCUCUCUGGUCUGUAACUGACGCUGAGGCUCGAAAGCGUGGGGAGCAAACAGG